GACUAUGAAGGAAAAAAAGGAACCUAAGGUAGCUUUCCUUCCUUUGUUGCUCCAGGAAACAACAUGAAAUCUCUCACGAUGGGCCACCCAUCAUACUGAAGUAAUAUACACAACUUGUUAAUCAAUUGGGAAUAUUACUUAGCCAGGUUUCCAGUUUUCUUUGAUAAAUUGGAGAUUUAACAACGCAGGAUUCUCUUCCUUGUGCGGAAACAUAAACUUGCCUACAUUAUUUACAUAUUUUCGUGCAUCGACGUGGACCUCAUUUAUAAUUUUCUUACAAAACAUCUUUUUAAAAGAACAGUACAGAGCCAAACAUCUUCCUGCGAUCCUACAGGGCAUUAUAUGGUCUCAGGUACUGGCUGCUGGUUUAUUAAAGGGUAGGAUUUCCAUUUACUCCAGGCAGGCUUAAUGUAUUGUUCUCAGAGUGAGACAGUCAGAAUGAGUCAGGAGCCAAAGAAUACACUUUAUAGACACAAAUAAUCGUAAAUUCAGAAUGUCACCUUUAGGCAGAGGCAUUUUUAUUAUUGUUAGUGGAGCUGCUGAGUAGGUUUGAUGUUUUAUUCUCUUGAGGACUCAAUGUUCCCAAGUCCUGGAGCCCUGUCUUUAUCAGGCUCACAAGGAGGGAGCCCAGCCAAACUUGCUUCCUAUACUUCUCUAUGAUUGAUAGCAGAUGGCAUGCUUUAAAAUAAACCUAUCCAUUAGCAGUCCUCAGUGUUUUUACUCAAGGCAUUUACAACUGUCUCAAGCAGAAAACACAUUCACUCCAUGAACUAGUUUCAGUCCAGAA
rnacentral:lncRNA from 1 species